rnacentral:lncRNA from 1 species
UGUCCAUCAGCAUCAUCAUCAUCACCAUCCUUGUGUCCAUCAGCAUCAUCACCAUCAUCAUCAUCAUCAUCAUCCUUGUGUCCAUCAGCAUCAUCAUCAUCAUCAUCAUCACCACCAUCAUCAUCAUCAUCAUCCUUGUGUCCAUCAUCACCAUCACCAUCAUCAUCAUCAUCAUCAUCAUCAUCAUCCUUGUGUCCAUCAGCAUCAUCAUCAUCAUCAUCAUCAUCAUCAUCACCAUCAUCAUCAUCAUCAUCAUCCUUGUGUCCAUCAGCAUCAUCACCAUCAUCAUCAUCAUCAUCAUCCUUGUGUCCAUCAGCAUCAUCAUCAUCACCAUCCUUGUGUCCAUCAGCAUCAUCAUCAUCAUCAUCAUCAUCAUCAUCUUUCUGUCCAUCAUCAUCAUCAUCAUCAAUAUCAUCAUCCUUGUGUCCAUCAUCAUCAUCAUCAUCAUCAUCAUCAUCCUUGUGUCCAUCAGCAUCAUCAUUAUCAUCCUUGUGUCCAUCAGCAUCAUCACCAUCAUCAUCAUCAUCAUCAUUAUCAUCCUUGUGUCCAUCAGCAUCAUCAUCAUCAUCAUCAUCAUCGCCAUCCUUGUGUCCAUCAGCAUCAUCAAUAUCAUCAUCAUCAUCAGUAUCAUCAUCAUCAUCAAUAUCAUCAUCAUCUCUGUGUUCAUCAUCAUCAGCAUCAUCAUCAUCAUCAUCAUCCCUGUGACCAUCAUCAUCACCAGCAUCACCAUCCCUGUGCCCAUCAUCAUCAGCAUCAUCAUCAAUAUCAUCAUCCCCAUGAUCAUCAUCAUCCCUGUGUCCAUCAUCAUCAAUAUCAUCAUCACCAUCAUCAUAAAUAUCAUCAUCAUCUGUGUCCAUCAUCAUCACCAUCAUCAUCAUCCCUGUGUCCAUCAUCAUCAUCAAUAUCAUCCCCAUCCCUGUGUCCAUCCCCAUCCCUGUGUCCAUCCCCAUCCCCAUCCCUGUGUCCAUGUCCAUCAUCAUCACCACCCCCAUCCCUGUGUCCAUCCCCAUCCCUGUGUCCAUCACCAUCCCCAUCCCCACCCCUGUGUCCAUGUCCAUCCCCAUCCCCGUGUCCAUCACCGUCAC